UACAGAGGUCUCGAGCGUUAAUCGGAAUUACUGGGCGUAAAGGGCGCGUAGGCGGCCUGCUAAGUCACACGUGAAAUCCCUCGGCUCAACCGGGGAACUGCGUGUGAUACUGGCGGGCUUGAAUUCGGGAGAGGGAUGUGGAAUUCCAGGUGUAGCGGUGAAAUGCGUAGAUAUCUGGAGGAACACCGGUGGCGAAGGCGGCAUCCUGGACCGAGAUUGACGCUGAGGCGCGAAAGCUAGGGGAGCAAACGGG
rnacentral:rRNA from 1 species